rnacentral:rRNA from 1 species
GUGAGGAAUUUUCCGCAAUGGGCGAAAGCCUGACGGAGCAAUGCCGCGUGAAGGAUGAAGGCCUAUGGGUUGUAAACUUCUUUUCUCAGAAAAGAAUUAUGACGGUAUCUGAGGAAUAAGCAUCGGCUAACUCUGUGCCAGCAGCCGCGGUAAGACAGAGGAUGCAAGCGUUAUCCGGAAUGAUUGGGCGUAAAGCGUCUGUAGGUUGUUUAAAAAGUAUUCUGUCAAAGAUUAGGGCUUAACCCUAGAUAGGCAGAAUAAACUUUUAAGCUAGAGUUUGGUAGAGGCAGAGGGAAUUCCCGGUGGAGCGGUGAAAUGCGUAGAUAUCGGGAGGAACACCAAAGGCGAAGGCACUCUGCUGGGCCAAUACUAACACUGAGAGACGAAAGCGAGGGGAGCAAACGGGAUUAGAAACCCGGGUAGUCC